UCAAUUAAUUUUUUAAAAAAUAUUAAAAAGCAGAAGACAUUUUUUCUUUUUUAAACAUACACACAUACACACACGCACACCACUAAAAUUAAUAGUUGCAGCUGAAAAAACAGCCCAUCUACAGUACGUCAAAAUAUUAUUUAUAUUACCAUGUGAAUAUUGGCCGUUUAUUAAAUUAAUUUAUAUUCCUAAAUAAGUUUCAUUUGCCUACCGCAAGUUUUAAUAGAUUAGGACAAACUACGAUUCCCAUCAUGCAUCGGAAACGAGAACAGUCCAAUCAAAAGAGGCAAUAUGUGACGUCACAAGUCUAUAUAAAUUGAACUCUGCCUUUCGCUCUCUCUCUUCCUCUCCCAAAAGUCCGUACGUGGCGUACAAAGAUUCGAGGACGAGACAUAUGUUGGGCUUAUGCGUCUGGCGACCAUAAAUCAAAGGACGAAGAGUCUUCAGUGGCAUUCAGGUUGUCAGGCCUUUGAUGUUGACACUUCUAAGGUCUUUUGGACUUCACCUGGAGUUGUUGGCAGUCGAGCCUCAAAAUGCGCUGAUGGAUGUUGGGGUCCAUCUGUACGACCUGUAAUUUGGAUUUGCUAAUAAACUACAUUUUCAUAUCA